rnacentral:rRNA from 1 species
UGGAGGCAGCAGUGGGGAAUCUUGCGCAAUGGGCGAAAGCCUGACGCAGCAACGCCGCGUGGAGGAUGAAGGCCCUUGGGUUGUAAACUCCUGUCGGCUGGGAAGAAGUCGUUCGCGGCUAAUACCCGCGGACGUUGACUGUACCAGCAAAGGAAGCCCCGGCUAACUCUGUGCCAGCAGCCGCGGUAAUACAGAGGGGGCCAGCGUUAUUCGGAAUUAUUGGGCGUAAAGGGCGCGUAGGCGGCCACGCGUGUCUUCCGUGAAAUCCCUCGGCUCAACCGAGGACGUGCGGAAGAAACUGCGAGGCUCGAGUCCAGAAGAGGGGGGCGGAAUUCCCAGUGUAGCGGUGAAAUGCGUAGAUAUUGGGAGGAACACCGGUGGCGAAGGCGGCCCCCUGGGCUGGUACUGACGCUGAUGCGCGAAAGCGUGGGUAGCAAACGGGAUUAGAUACCCCGGU